CCCAGGUGAGCCUCACCUGGUGCCGGGCUCUCACCUGUGCCCCCCCCGCAGGUAACUCCAGCUCACCUGAGGUGCGGCUGGCGGCCGGGCCGCACCUGUGCGCAGGUAGGGUGGAGGUGCUGCACGAGGGGCGCUGGGGGACGGUCUGCGACCACGGCUGGGACCUGAGGGACGCCCAGGUGAGCUCAGGUGGGGACAGGUGAGCUCAGGUGGGGACAGGUGAGCUCAGGUGGGGACAGGUGGGACCUGAGGGAUGCCCAGGUGAGCUCAGGUGGGGACAGGUGAGCUCAGGUGUGUGCAGGUGAGUCCUGCAGGUGUGCGCAGGUGUGCAGGUGAGUCCCGACAGGUGUGUGCAGGUGUGUCCUGACAGGUGUGUGCAGGUGAGUCCUGACAGGUGUGUACAGGUGUGUGCAGGUGUGCACAGGUGUGCGCAGGUGUGUCCUGACAGGUGUGUGCAGGUGUGCACAGGUGUGCUCAGGUGUGAACAGGUGUGCUCAGGUGUGUGCAGGUGAGUCCUGCAGGUGUGCUCAGGUGUGCUCAGGGGAGCCCCAC
rnacentral:lncRNA from 1 species